UACCAGCACCCCGGGUGGUCGGGACGAUUAUUGGGCCUAAAGCAUCCGUAGCCGGUUCUGCAAGUCCUCCGUUAAAUCCAGCUGCUCAACAGAUGGGCCGCGGAGGAUACUACAGAGCUAGGAGGCAGGAGAGGCAAGCGGUACUCAGUGGGUAGGGGUAAAAUCCGUUGAUCCAUUGAAGACCACCAGUGGCGAAGGCGGCUUGCCAGAAUGCGCUCGACGGUGAGGGAUGAAAGCUGGGGGAGCAAACCGG
rnacentral:rRNA from 1 species